UUCAGGGUUUCUUAAAGGGUGAAAUGGAACAGAAUUAGGGGGACACAACCUUCUCUUUGGCCAGGCUUCCAGAGCAAGAUGGGUCCACCCAUUACUGAUGCAAGCAGGAGACAGACACAGAUAGAUGGACCAGUAUUAAAUGCCACAAUGCCUGGAGAAGCAAAAAUGAGGAUCAAAACUUUGGGUGCUGCUAGAGUAAGAAAAGCAUAGAUGGGGCCUCUUUUCUAGGGUUCUGCGUCUGAAACCUGGAAGAUUUCUCUUGUGUCUGGACGACCUGCCUCCUGUAAGCAUGUGACUUGAGGGUCCCCAAGAAAAACAAUUCAGUUCACACUUCAGUCCUCAGAAUGCACUAUUUGCAGGAAAAAAAAAAAUCUCAUCCAACAAAAAGGAUCUCUUAGACAUUCAGAAGUCUACAGAGACCUUAUUAUGAGGCCUCCCAAAAGGAUACUUUUCUACAAUCUUUAGCAGUGAGGGGAAAAAGGCACGAAGGCCUAAUCCUGCAACCCUGUGUCAAAGCUUUGGUGGUAAAAGGUAAUCAGACCCUCUGUCCAAACUUCCUCAUAUAUAUCCAGCUUAGCUGGUAGAGCCCAACUCCUUCUGCCUGAGGUCACCUGAAAAGAGAUGCCAGAUUCAGGAGCUCAAAAUUUCUGCAUUUGGAACCAGAAGGAACAAGGAAGAGGAUAAUUCUAGGCUGUGCUCAGACCAAGAACUAUAGGGGAGGAAGUAGCAGAAGAUUCUGGGCUGAUGGAAAUUCAGGCCAAGAUCUAAAUACAAGACAAAGCAAGUUUCGCCUGCAUGCACUGAAGAUGGCAGCUGUUGUGGGAAGGCUGCUCCGACAUGUGAGUGCCAUUCCUUGGGGCAUUUCUGCCACUGCAGCCCUCAGGCCUGCUGCUUCUGGGAAGAAUGAGCUUGACAAACAUAUUAUGGUCCAGUUCUGGUCAAGCAAAAUUCUUUAGCACCAGCUCCUCAUAACAUGCACCUGCUGUCGCCCAGCAUGCACCCUAUUUAAGGGUACAGCCAUUGUCAAUAGAGAGUUCAAAGACCUAAGCCUUGAUGACUUUAAGGGGAAAUAUUUGGUGCUCUUCUUCUAUCCUUUGGAUUUCACCUUCAUGUUUCCUACAGAAAUUGUUGCUUUUAGUGACAAAACUAAGGAAUUUCACGAUGUGAACUGUGAAGUUGUUGUGGUCUCAGUGGAUUCCCACUUUAGUUGCCUGGAUAAAUACACCAAGAAAGAAUGGUGGUUUGGGCCACAUGCACAUCCCACUCUUGUCAGAUCUAAGCAAACUUCCUGAGACUACGGUGUGCUGUUAGAAGGUCCUGGUCUUGCACUAAGAGGUCUCUUCAUAACUGACCCCAAUGGAGUCAUCAAGCACUUGAGCAUCAAUGAUCUCCCAGUGGGCCGAAGCGUGGAAGAGACCCUCUGCUUGGUGAAGGCGUUCCAGUAUGUAGAAACCCAUGGAGAAGUCUGCCCAGCAAACUGGACACUGGAUUCUCCUGCAAUCAAGCCAAAUCCAGCUGCUUCCAAAGAGUACUUUCAGAAGGUAAAUCGGUAGAUCACCCAUGUGUAUCUGCACCUUCUCACCCCAGAGAAGAACCACAGUUGAAACCUUUUAUCAUUUUAUAGAUGACUAUCUGUAGAAGGCAAGGAACCAAUUGUGUUUGUAUUCAUAAAUAUUACUCUAAAUGUUUUAUUUUUGUAAUACUGGCUACGGCCUUUUAAGCAUGGUUAGUUGCUAGUACAAGGAAUCCUUUACUGGUAACGUGUUGGUGGCUAGCUAGCUAGUUUCUACAGAACAUAAUUCACCUCUGUAGAAGGCAAUUCUUAGAUCAUGUCUUCAAUGGAACACUCUUCUGUCUUAGCCUUACUUGAAUCUUGCCUACAACAAAGUAGAGCAACACACAUUAAAAGCUUCUGAUCAAGGGUCCUAAAGUUUUCAUCUUGAAUGUGUUUGUAUUAAACUGAAUUUUCUUUUAAGCUAACAAAGAUCACAGCUUUCAGUUGUUAUCAGCAGUCAAAUGUAACUCCUGAAAUGAACGUUUAUGUGAUUGGAGCAAAUGUGAAUCAUAUUAUUUUAAAAAGUGGCAAAGUGACUUAACUGAUCAUAC